rnacentral:rRNA from 1 species
GACGAACGCUGGCGGCGUGCUUAACACAUGCAAGUCGAACGAAGUGGCGAACGGGUGAGUAACGCGUAAUCAACCUGCCCUUCAGAGGGGGACAACAGUUGGAAACGACUGCUAAUACCGCAUACUGAAGGAGGGGAUUGCGUCUGAUUAACUAGUUGGAGGGGUAACGGCCCACCAAGGCGAUGAUCAGUAGCCGGGCUGAGCGGAGCAACGGACACAUUGGGACUGAGACAAGGGCCAGACACCUACGGGAGGGAGCCAUGGGGAAUCUUCCGCAAUGGACGAAAGUCUGACGGAGCAACGCCGCCUGAGUGAUGACGGCCUUUGGGUUGUAAAGCUCUGUUAAUCGGGACGCGGUACCGGAAUAGAAAGCCACGGCUAACUACGUGCCAGCAGCCGCGGUAAUUC